AACACAAUAGUGAAAGCUGCGCUCCUGAUCGUCGGCAGGCUGGCACUGUUAUACAGGAAAAGGGUCGUGUGCGACCUUCGGUGUGCGUGGUCGUAACGGUGCUCUGUGCAUCUUGCUGGGCCGAUUUCUUUUCCCUGGAGAAAACCUUAACUGAAGCACGUUUCCUCUACUUUCAUCCUAAGGCCUGCUGUUAGAAUUUCCUUCAGAGGGGAGAAGACCCAGGAUGUCGAGAUUAAAUUUUAUUCAGCGAUUCACUGUCCAGUCCCAAACUCCUUAUCAGGAGCUGCUUUUAUGAAAGACUUUCAGACGAUUUUUUUCCUAACGAUGAAAGGUUGUUUUCUGUUUACCCGCUUUGCAGUCCUUCCUAGUUGUAAUGAAAUCUGAGAAUAGUCCCCUGCAAAAUGGUUUAAGAAAACAGAAUUGUUUAUUAGUGCAGACCCUUAGCCUGCCCAGAUUCUGCUGC
rnacentral:lncRNA from 1 species